rnacentral:rRNA from 1 species
UACGGGGGGAGCAAGCGUUGUUCGGAUUUACUGGGCGUAAAGGGCGCGUAGGCGGUCGUGACAAGUCACUUGUGAAAUCUCCGGGCUUAACUCGGAACGGUCAAGUGAUACUGUCGGACUAGAGUACAGAAGGGGCAACUGGAAUUCUCGGUGUAGCGGUGAAAUGCGUAGAUAUCAAUCUGGAACGCCUGCGGUGAAAACGGCUCGCUGGGAGCAAUCUGACGCUGAGACACGAAAGCCAGGGGAGCGAACGGG